rnacentral:rRNA from 1 species
AUUGAACGCUGGCGGCCGGCCUAACACAUGCAAGUCGAACGAGUGGCGGACGGGUGAGUAAUGUCUGGGAAACUGCCUGAUGGAGGGGGAUAACUACUGGAAACGGUAGCUAAUACCGCAUACCAUCGGAUGUGCCCAGAUGGGAUUAGCUAGUAGGUGGGGGAAAGGCUCACCUAGGCGACGAUCCCUAGCUGGUCUGAGAGUAUGACCAGCCAAACUGGAACUGGGGCACGGUGCAGACUCCUACGUGAGGCAGCAGUGGGGAAUAUUGCACAAUGGGCGGAAGGCUGAUGUAGCCAUGCCGGGUGUAUGAAGAAGGCCUUCGGGUUGUAAAGUACUGGCAGCGGGGAGGCGUUAACCGCAGAAGAAGCACCGGCUAACUCCGUGCCAGCAGCCGCGGUAAUAC